rnacentral:rRNA from 1 species
UACGGAGGGUGCAAGCGUUAUCCGGAAACACUGGGGUUAAAGGGUGCGUCGGCGGCUUGAUAAGUCAGGGGUGAAAGCCCGCAGCGUAACUGCGGAACUGCCUUUGAUACUGUCGAGCUUGAAAGAGGUUGAGGUCAGCGGAACGUGACAUGUAGCGGUGAAAUGCAUAGAUAUGUCACAGAACACCGAUUGCGAAGGCAGCUGGCUGGACCUACUUUGACGCUGAGGCACUAAAGCGUGGGGAGCGAACAGG